rnacentral:lncRNA from 1 species
ACAAGGCUAAAAUAUGUCAACCAUUUAUGGAGUUGAGUAGUUUAGGACAUCUGUCGUGUCAAGAAGAGUCUUAAGAAUUUAGCAUCCAAAUGGCCAUCCCAAGAAUUUGGAGUUCUUGUUAUGCCCCAGACCCCAUAUUUAAAUAUCGAGGUCGUGAGCAGCUGCUAUAUAUUUUUAAAAAAUUAUCUCUAUACAUAUUAUUGCUGUGAGGCUCAAAAUCUCAAAUAGAG